CAACCCAGUAUCACGCUAAAGCGUGUAAUAGACACGCUGGUCCACUAGAGGAUGCGUGUCAAUGUCACGCUUUGCCUCCUCUAGGCGUGAAAAUGACACGCAUUUAUGAGGAUGAUAACCAAUAGGGGGCGAUAAUUUCUUAUUGCCAACAACUUCAACAAGAGAAGCGACGCAGUGAUAUGCGUUCUCUGGAGCUCCAUGGGUCCGGUCAGUACCCACCACCCUUCCCUGUUAACAUCACCCACAGUUUAUACUUUUUCUUAGAAAACCAACGGCUCUUUUAAGAGCCACUUCAAUAGACCCUUUUACAGCCCACGUGAUCAAAUAGCCUACGUGCGCAUUUUGGCAACGGAAGUGAUGUUAUCUCCCAGUGGUUCUAUUGUGUAAGCAACUCAGAAAGUUUAUUAAAACGAUUUCCCCACAUCAAAACGUCUGGUUGUAGCAUUUGGUUGCACUAAUAUAAUAUAUGUUUAGUAUUUGGCCAUCUUCUAACGUCUUCUAUCCACUCCACUAUAGUACACAGAUCUGGUAACUGUGUAGAAGAUAAGUCAACUUUUUAAACUAACUUUCUCUGUCUGUGUUGCUUCACUGCUGAUUCUUGCUGUGCUUCCGUUGCCAAACUGCGUGCGCAUACGUUGCCACGUCAUCAUUGUGUACAAACAGUAAAAGGGUCACUCACUCACUCUUUUGCAAGCUUCUCUGUUUUCAAGUAUUGUAAUUUUAUUCAUUUUACUCUCUCUCUCACUGUCCAAAACACUUAGCCUAUGCCUCUUUGUCUGACCAAUGUAGUAUUGUUGAAAUGGCUGCUGAGCAAGACAGAGGGAGAGCAGAGGGUGUUAUUUUCAUAGCAGACAUGCUUCUUGCUCAAAUCAAGAAGGAGCUUCAAGCAGCCACAAACGGAGAGUUCUUUUGAACAGAUAUUGCUUGCAAGUAUUGGCCAUACCUUGAGAAGGCGUCAGUCUCCAUGUUGGAACUCAGACCUUUACUGCAGAUGAGACCUUUCCUUUCUGUCAUGCAUGCCAAGGCUCAUUCAACCAAGUGUCAGAUAAUCUGGCAAAAAUCAGGAAGGUGCUGGUACAACUGCUGUUGAGGGGGUCAAAAUGGUCAACAGCUACCUGUCUCGUUGUGGCCUCACAACCAACCAGGAAUGACAUGCUAACUGUCCAUGCUAUUGGGUGGAACCAACGGAAGCAAGAAGGCCUUCAGCAUUAUCCAGCAGAUACAUCAAGAAAGGCUGAGUCUCAGAGACGGGAAGAUUUGAGCAGUGAACUGGGGUGUCCUGAGAACAUUGUGAAUCAGUGGGUACAAGAUGUCAGACAAAAGGCUACUGAUGGAUUUGGUAGGUACCAGAUGUGAUGACCUACACAACCUUCAGAAAUGAAUUGAACAAAUGUUUCUUAGUCUUCAUCGAAAAGCCAGCCUUUAUAAUCACACUGAAUCCAGCAACACCCUCACCAAGAAGAUUUCAAAAGUGUGCCUUCAAGAAGCAAAGAUCAUUGUGAUGAGGGAGAUGAGACACCACUGCACCGCACCUAUCUCAGAAGCCUGGCUAGGAACAUCAGGAAAAUGAUAUCAGAAAUGUCUUCAGGCAAAAACAGUGGCAGUUUAAGUGAAGAGUGUCAUCGCUGGCUACUGUGUCGUCUUCAGAAAAGGCUUGCAGAUGUAGAGAAGAAGUUCCAAGUUUGCUCAAGUUACAGCCAGGCUUUAGGACAGUGUUCUUCACUCCCAACCCCGGAGAGCCGGUGUCCUGCAGACUUUAGCUCCAACCUUAAUCAAACACAUCUGAA